UAUUUUUUUAUGGCUCUUAAUAAUUCCAUUAUCAUAUUUCCAUCGGUAGUAAAAAGGGAAUAAAAAUGGCUUCUUCCUUUUCUUCUCCCAAACUGAUCCAUGGGUUUCAUAGUCCAAAUGGUUGCAGUUGCAUACCUCAUUUUCACUCUAUCAAACUUGGCAGCAGCCGCUCUCAAACCCCUCUCAGUUUCAGAUUCGGAGAUGCCUUAAGAUUGCAGUUAAGGACAAGGUUAUAUACUGUGUUUGCUUCAAACUCCAGCCCUUCUGAUGGAGAUUCCAGUGAAGAGAAAUCCGGCGGGGCAAUAUCCAGCGAUGAUGCCCGAGGUCCUCCAUUCCUAACUAUUUUGGCAGGAUUCCUAGUUUUUUGCCUCUUAUGUUGGGUUUUUGGAUCUAUCAUAAUGUGGCUGUUUGGUCUAAUUGUUAAGGUGCCGCUUUUCAAGUAGAUCGAAUAUUGUACUGUUCAUUUUCGGAGCAGAAGGUUGACUUCUACUCAACAAGGACACAAGAAACCACGUAUGUCAGGAGUUUGGACAUGUGAAUGGAGAACUAGGUUGACCCUAAAAAGUUUGUACUUGUAACUGCAAGUCUGCAAUCACUCCACCUGGAUUCAAACAAGUGCUCUAGAUUUUUUUUCAAAGAACAAAAAAAAAAAGAAGCAAACAAUUAGUUGAAACUUGAAAAAACCCCAAUAACAGAAUAAUACAGUUGAUGCAUUUAGUGUCAAGUAGCUGUUAAGAACUAGCCUGAGACUUUUUUUUCCUCCUGUCAAGGAACUAGCUUGCAACCCCAGCUAAGUUGAUGUACAGAGAACAAUCAAUGGGAAGCUUUAAUUUAUCUAGCAUCUUAUAUAGGGGCCUGAUGUUGAGGCGCUAUGGACUUAUAGAAGAACAAAAGAGAAACGGGUGUCAUAGCACCGAUUUAAGAAGGAAGAUGACUAAGCAACAAGACGAUAUUUAAAUGUGAUAAUCCAGAGAGCUAACUUGUCCUUCUGGU